GCCUUUGUGAUGAGAUGGUAGCAUACUCGGCGCGUAUUCGAGAGGUCCAGGUUCGAGUCCCGGUGAGGGCG
rnacentral:tRNA from 1 species